GAUGAACGCUGGCGGCGUGCCUAAUACAUGCAAGUCGAGCGAACGGACGAGAAGCUUGCUUUUCUGGUGUUAGCGGCGGACGGGUGAGUAACACGUGGAUAACCUACCUAUAAGACUGGGAUAACUUCGGGAAACCGGAGCUAAUACCGGAUAAUAUUUUGAACCGCAUGGUUCAAAAGUGAAAGACGGUCUUGCUGUCACUUAUAGAUGGAUCCGCGCUGCAUUAGCUAGUUGGUAAGGUAACGGCUUACCAAGGCAACGAUGCAUAGCCGACCUGAGAGGGUGAUCGGCCACACUGGAACUGAGACACGGUCCAGACUCCUACGGGAGGCAGCAGUAGGGAAUCUUCCGCAAUGGGCGAAAGCCUGACGGAGCAACACCGCGUGAGUGAUGAAGGUCUUCGGAUCGUAAAACUCUGUUAUUAGGGAAGAACAUAUGUGUAAGUAACUGUGCACAUCUUGACGGUACCUAAUCAGAAAGCCACGGCUAACUACGUG
rnacentral:rRNA from 1 species